AACAAACGCUGGCGGCGUGCCUAAUACAUGCAAGUCGAACGGGGAAAGCUUUCGGGUGAGUACUAGUGGCGCACGGGUGAGUAACGCGUGGAUAAUCUGCCUUAGAGUGGGGGAUAACUAGUCGAAAGAUUAGCUAAUACCGCAUAAGACCACAAGAACUGCGGUUCAAGGGGUCAAAGGUUUUUCGCUCUAAGAUGAGUCCGCGUAAGAUUAGCUAGUUGGUAGGGUAACGGCCUACCAAGGCGACGAUCUUUAACUGGUCUGAGAGGAUGAUCAGUCACACUGGAACUGAGACACGGUCCAGACUCCUACGGGAGGCAGCAGUAGGGAAUAUUGCACAAUGGAGGAAACUCUGAUGCAGCGACGCCGCGUGAGCGAUGAAGGCCUUCGGGUCGUAAAGCUCUGUCGCAGGGGAAUAACACAAUGAAGGCACCCUGUAAGAAAGGAUCGGCUAACUUCGUGCCAGCCGCCGCCGUAAUAC
rnacentral:rRNA from 1 species